UUAAGAAAUGGAGGGAUGUGUUGAGAUAAUUCACAGGGGAUGAUAGUUUUGAUUGGCAUAGUCUUCUGUUAAACACUUAAAAGUUUGUACUUUUCCUUCACAAAUAAAGUACAUAGCUACUUUGAGGGUGUAUAAGUAUGCGAAUUGGGACGCAGCAUUGAUUUUGGCUGCAUAGCUACUUACCAGAAUUUCCAUUAAUUGACGUCAAAUUGUCGUUUUAAAUACUGAAUGUGUAGUAAGUUUUAGAAAACACGGUUUAGAUGAAGUAAUGCACUUAUUAACAAUCAUACCCUAUUCAUUAGUCUGUAAAAUCUACUCAAACCUGACUGACACUCAUCAUGCUCGUUCCUGUUUUGAUCAGCAGGUGGCCUGGAUGGCCUUACUUUCACUCUGAACUUGUCCUUUGAAGCAGAAACACUGAUUCAAUAUCUGCGAGAGAUUAUGGCUGAUUAUUUAGCUAAAUGGACCACACACGGAAAGACGAGUCAUCUCACACGCGCUAAUCAAUUCAAGAUACGCUAGCUAUUAGCACCCAGUCGAAAACCCGAUCGCACUCGCUCGUAUAUUCAAGCUUACUGUACAGUCCAGUCCACAACAGAAGAACAGACACAUCUGCUUUCUUCACUCGUCUUUCUCCUCCCCGCAGCUCAAGCUUUCACUCGCUUUCUCUCUCUGUAGUGGUUUGAGAAAGUUCCAGACAUUCCUGAAAGGAUUCCGCUCGGCAGCAGCCAGUCAGCAAUGAAUUCCAGAAUAGCAGGACAGCGGCUAAAAAUAGAGACGAGGAGGAUUUCAUGAAAGCUGAUGAAAGAUUUCCUCCUCCUGCUCCAGCCUCCAUCGCACGCAAAUCUGGGGGAAACCUGAGAGGAGGACAACAGAUGGAGAGAGAAAGAGAUGGAGAGGACACAAGAUGAGGAGCGAGGUGUUUUUCUUAUUCUCAACGUAAAUGUAAACAACAGACAGACUGAAUGAUGGUGGAUCUCCUCCAACUCUGCUUCUCAGUUGAUUUAUGCCGGUCUCCCUAUCGAAACACGAGUGCUGAGAGCUUUUGGGCUUCACUUCUCACUUCUGCAGAUUUAUGUGCCCUCCAGAAACUUGCGUUCUGUGAAUGAACGUUGCCUCAUGGUUCGAUACCAAAGAGAGAAGAAAUCACUUUCCCGAACUCUC